GUGAGGAUCUAUUGUCCUCCAGCAAUAGAGGAUCUAUUGUCCUCUGUUUGUUCAGUGAUGUAACUCCUCUGAUCUCAAUAGAAGUGAAAUCAAAAUCAAGGCCCUGGUUUAUGAAAUUAUUAUGGGCAUCAACUUUUGUGCAAGUCUUCAGUAGUUUAUGUAAGAUGGAACCAGAUGAAAACAGCUUACAUUUUCCUAGUGGUCUGAUGGAAAAGAAUCAAUUCUAACAUAAAGAAUGCUACUGUCAAGGAGUGUAAGAAGACAUCUUUAAGUAGCUAAGGAAGAUAUUUCAUUUACCCGUUCUUUCAUUUCCUUCUUUCUAGACAUGUCCUGCUGAUGGUUUUUGAGAUGCUCUUUCUUUAUUUUCUGCUGUUCUAUUUGGUCAUGAUACAGGUCAGCAGAGGAUGGUCGCAGUCCCUGUGGAUGUACAAAUAAAUCCCAAAGCAAAGGAAUUUCUUCACUGCUCACUCAAUUGAGUCUCCCUGUCCCACUGAAGAGUGAAGAACAAUGGAGAGAAGGUGCCACUGCAUGAUAUAAGCAUGGCAAGAUAUUCACAAAUGUUUCCGUGGUGGAAACACUAUAUGGUAUAUGAGAAAAAUGCUGAAUUUUGCUUAUUUUUUUAAAUAAAUUAAAAAACAUGUAAGUAUCCCUUCCAUAGCUGAUAAAUACAAUAACUAUUACUCCCUGCUUUCCCUUUUAGAAACACUAAAACCAGGAUUAUCUACCUAUGGUAUAGUACAGAUCACAGUAGAAUAUAAAUUCCUAUCUAUAUAAGAAAAAAAUUUUCUACUGCCAAUAAUGUUCCAAGGAAGAGGUAACCUCAAAAAGUGUUUAUCUUACCCCUCACUGAACUAAGUUUUACAGUAUGGUAUCCAGAAGUAUGGCAAUCCCAAGCAAUAGGGAGUACAAAUCAGACCAUCUGAAUAAAUGUAAAAGGCUUGAGAACUAUGACCAGUGGAGCAGGUGCCCUGGUGACUCAGGCCAUGGGGAAGUCUGGGGUACUAAAUGCCUUUUUUGCCUCAGUCUUUACUAGCAAGACUGGCCUCCAGGGUGGGGAGUCUGAAGCAAGGAAGUUGUACCCUUGGUGUAGAAGUAUCAGAUUAGAGAAUACAUAAGCAGACUGUCUUGCCUUCUGAAGAUGAUUAAAUAUUAUGAGAAUGUGGAUGCACAGUACCUGAAAAACAGGCUGCUGCCCUCUUGAAGGAGGUUUCCAUUCAUUUCUCUGAAAUAAUUCUUGUUUCUUGACAGGCACCACCAUUCCAGAUUCUGGAGAAACUUGGUCCUGGACUCUCCUUUUUUGAAGUUUAUCUGCUUUUUAACAAUAAAGUAUGAAAAAGUUA